AGUAAAGUGGCGGCCGGGUGAGUAACACGUGACUAACCUACCUUCGAGUGGGGGAUAACCUCGGGAAACCGAGGCUAAUACCGCAUAACAUCGCAAGAUCAAAGCAGCAAUGCGCUGGAAGAGGGGGUCGCGGCUGAUUAGCCAGUUGGCGGGGUAACGGCCCACCAAAGCGAAGAUCGGUAGCCGGCCUGAGAGGGCGCACGGCCACACUGGAACUGAAACACGGUCCAG
rnacentral:rRNA from 1 species